rnacentral:rRNA from 1 species
UACGUAGGGUGCGAGCGUUGUCCGGAAUUAUUGGGCGUAAAGGGCUCGUAGGCGGUUUGUCGCGUCGGGAGUGAAAAUCCAGGGCUUAACUCUGGACUGGCUUCCGAUACGGGCAGACUAGAGGUAUGCAGGGGAGAACGGAAUUCCUGGUGUAGCGGUGAAAUGCGCAGAUAUCAGGAGGAACACCGGUGGCGAAGGCGGUGAUCCGGGCCAGUACUGACGCUGAGGAGCGAAAGCGUGGGUAGCAAACAGG